CUCGAUCGUAAAUAAUAUUUGAAAAUUAUUUUGUCAAGAUAAAAGAAAAAAGAAAAGAAAACAAUGGGUCGGGUGGGGAGACAAAUUUGAAUAAUAACAAUAAUAAUAAUAAAUUCGGUUAAAUGUUAGAACUGAAUUAGAUUGAUAGGGAAGGGUAGAGAGGGAUUUAAACAAAACAAAAAAAUAAAUAAAAAGAGAAAAAGCAUAGACACCGAUUGUGAGAAAGUAGUUGGUUGGUUGGUUGGUUGGUUGAGUGCGCGCGCUUGCCGCGUCCCGUCGUCGGGUAAAAGCCAGGUUCGUUCGGUUGGUUCCGUUCAGUACAUGCCGGUACUUCAUGUCGAACGUGUUAACUGCAGCCCGUAGUUUGCUGUCCGUUACCGAUUGGUUGGUUGAUUAAUCGAUCGAUGAUACUACGAAAUAUCAAGGGAUAUUCAUUUGCAAUUACCGGUGAUCCAUGUGCAUUUCAAGGACGUUAGCAGCGUCACUACGUUAUAGUAGUUUCUGACGAAGGCAAAUAACACGGAAGAAAGAAAGAAAGAAAGAAAGAAAGAAAGAAAGAAAUAAGAAGAAGGAAUAAUAAAACGGUGAUAAAGAAAGGAAGAAAGGAAGGAAAGAAGACAAAAAUUGAAUCGAAUAAAAUGAUCAUUGAGUGUACGAAAUAUUCAACGUUCACGUCAUCGUCACCGACAGCGUACAAUUUUCCUUCUAAAUUCAGAACAGUUUGAUAAAGAAUAGUGUGGAAAAUUAACGACAAUUAAUAAUAUAUAUAAAAAAUUAAAAAAAAAUUAAAAACGAACGACAACACUGAACAAACGGGGCUUGGACAAAUCUCAGAGAGUGUUAUUAAUUCCGUUGGAAAAAAAACUUCUAACAACAGCUCACCCCCCCCCCCCUCCAACGUUCUUGCUUCUACUUCUACUUGUUCUUCUACUUCUCUACUCCAUUAGAAGAAAAGUUAGUGGAAUAUAUUUUCAAAAUCAAUUAUUAGUGUGAUUAUAAUUAUUAUUACUACUACUACUACUACUAGUAUUACUGCUACUACUACUAUUGCUACUGUAACUGCUACUAUUCAUCCACAUUUAAAGAUGAAUAUGGUCUUAGCGUUUAUAUGUUUAUGCGUAAUAACAGUAUUGGCGUUGCUGCAGAUCUUGGUUUUGUAUAAUAUCAUUACAUUGAGGAACUAUUUGUUUGUGUGCAACAACCGAAGUUGCAGGGUUCAUCGUCGACGACCAUUCAGAUACUUCUACUUCUUCUAAAUACGAAUCAUCGUCAAUAUUCACAUAUUGGUGGCCCCUUCCCAUCCCUUCAUUGGAAAUAACCGAAAGGGUAGUUUGAAGUUUUAAACGAUUGGACGACUGGAAUAAAAUUAAAGUGGAUCGUAAGGAAGAUAAAAUACGACGAAAAAGAAGAAGAAAAAGUAGAAGAAGAAAAAGAAGAAGAUAUAAUAAUAAUAAUAAUAAUAAUAAUAAUAAUAAUAAUAAUAAUAAUAGUGAUCAAAUAAAAUAAGAGAGGCAUCAUCGUUGUCAUAGGUGUGUGUUAGGUCUUUUAAAGAGGGCAUGAUAAGCAAGGACGCGACCUUGAGAAGAGAAUCAGGUGCCGAUGAAUGCAGUGAACUCGAAAGAAUAGUUGUCAGAGAAAGAAACAAGAUUCGUCGAAUUAAUCGUUCGGUUUCACGUAUAAUUUUUAUGACGGAAUGACGAGACCUUCUUCAUCAUCAUCGUCAUCGUCAUCGUCAUCGUUAUCGUCAUCGUCAUCGUCACCAUCAUCGUCACCGUCGUCGUCGUUGUCGUCAUCGUCACCGUCACCGCCGCGUUAUAAUUUUAUUCAUGCAUUUGAUAUGUGGCCGAGAAAAUAUAAAAACAUUUCAAUUAAGUGACUUAACGUUGCCACGAUUAAUUCUCAAAUCAACGGGAAAUCAAAGAAAAUUGAUUUAAUUUUAUUAUACCGACGUUGUGGAAAAAGAAGAAGAAGAAGAAGAAGAAAAAAGAAAAAAGAAAAAGAAGAAGAAGAAAGAA